rnacentral:lncRNA from 1 species
UCUUUUUCAAGAACUGAUCCUGUAAUACAUACUGAAUGGCCACACAUGUAUGAUAUAAUGAACUAUAGGGCCUUAAAAGUGUGAUGAGAGUACAUUUUAUAAAGCUCCACAAGAUCACAUGAAGCCUCUGCCAAAUGAAAUAUACAAAAUACUGACAAAAAUUCACACUUUUGCACAAAGGGCAUACUUUUGAACAUGCUCGAUGACACCCACUGAACUUGCGCAAUUGACUGGUGGGAGCAAGCAACAACUUUGAAGUAUGCAAAGGCAUCUUGUUUCUCCAGAAAAAAGCAGGGGCACAUCUCCAUAUCAAUAAAUAGUUGCUGAUCCAUCAGUGAGCAUGCAUCACAAAGAAAAUGUUGAAAGAAAAACCAGGUGGACCGGGUGGACCAGCUACAACUCCUCCUCUGGACUGAUUGCUACGGCGAGGUGGAGCUGAUGGAGGCGGAGAUCACAAGCGGCACUGGGAUUUGGCCACUACAGGGAAUCCCAGCGACUACCAAGCCAUCCUUGAUGUACUAAUUAUGGUGAUGUAUUUUGUACUGCCAAAACACCUGCAAGAUGAACUGAAGGGGAGCGUCGUCACCUGCAAGCUGAACUGAAAAUGCCGGCUAAGGGGACCUGAAGAAUCACCAAAUGUUGAACUGAAUAUACACAAGUGAAGGAGCAUGAACGUACACGGUAGCUCUAUGUGUACACAACAAUAACUGAGCAUAUAUGUCUAAGAUGAAGGGUAACACACCUCAAGAUAGCAAUGGACUUCCAAUAUUCAUCUUUUUGAGCUGCUGCCUUUUAUUUUAUUUUUUGCAUC